AACGAACGCUGGCGGCGUGCCUAACACAUGCAAGUCGAGCGCGAAAAGGGCAACCUGAGUAGAGCGGCGCACGGGUGCGUAACACGUGGGUAAUCUGCCUUAGAGUCGAGGAUAACCUUCCGAAAGGUUGGCUAAUACUCGGUAAGCUUACGGUGUCUUCGGACGCUGUGGGAAAAGUAGGCCUCUGUUUACAAGCUUACGCUCUGAGAUGAGCCCGCGGCCCAUCAGCUAGUUGGCGGUGUAACGGACCACCAAGGCAACGACGGGUAGCUGGUCUGAGAGGACGAUCAGCCACACUGGAACUGCGACACGGUCCAGACUCCUACGGGGGGCAGCAGUGGGGAAUCUUCCACAAUGGGCGAAAGCCUGAUGGAGCAACGCCGCGUGUGUGAUGAAGGUUUUCGGAUCGUAAAGCACUUUCGACCGGGACGAAAAACCUCUGGCUAACAUCCAGGGGCCUGACGGUACCGGGAGAAGAAGCACCGGCUAACUCUGUGCCAGCCGCCGCCGUAA
rnacentral:rRNA from 1 species